GUUGAUGACUAGGUCAGUGUCCACCUUCACAUGGGAUAAGUGUAGCUUCUUGCCUAAACACCACAUAGGGAUAUUCCUGGAAGCCUGGUAAAGUUCUAGAGAGGAAAGCCAAGCAUGAUGGCCCACAGGCAGGCCUGUGAGGAGGCCCACGUAGAGAACAACUGAAGUCUUCUGCAACUUUCCAGAUAAAGGAGCGAGCCCCUUUAGAAGCAGCACUUGCGGCCCUAAUCAUGCCUUCUACUGAUAAAAGCACCUGUUAAAACCUGAUUGUACUCUCAUCAAAGACCCUGAAAUAGAACUAUCCAAUCAAGCUACUUUAAAAUUGCCAACCCACAGAAACCAUGAAAGGCCUCAUCCAAUUAAUUAAAGGCCUUCAGAGCAAAAACUGAGGACUUCUCAAGAAGAAUUUCUGCGUCAAGGCUGUAGUAUCAACUUCUGCCUGUUUCUAGCCUGUCGGUCUACAGAUUUCAAAUUCAUGGGCCCCUGCAAUUGUGUGAUGCUGAGUGGUCAGACUGGACACCAGCCUGUGAGCAGUAGUGACCUGUGUCAUAUUUAGGACAAGCCACUGAGGAGCCAGGAUGUUUUCUCCUUCUUUCCCUUCUAGACUGGAAGUAUCUUAGACACUAUCUGCCACUAAAAAUACCAUUGCCAUUAAAAAAAAAAAGAAAAAAAAAAAGAAAAAAAGAAAAAGACAGCCCAACAAGUAGU